GUUUCCUCCUUUCCUGCAGAGCGGUCAGCAUGUGGCUGGGUACACAGGCCCAUCGGUGAAUCUUGGUUGGUGGGCUGUUUGGGGUCCCAAGGGCAGGAAGGAUGAGGACUGAAUGCUGGAAAGCGGCUCCAGGAAUAGGGGGAAGGGCUUCUGAUUGCCCUGCCUUGGGGUCUGUGUGACUUCUGCCUGCCUUGUGAGGUCACAGUAUUGCCCAGGUGACCCAGCUGGGUGGGAAAACCCACUGCUUUUCCAGGUCUGAGCAGAGAGAGGGCCACUCCUGUCUUUACCUUCUGUGGGUGCCAAGAACCAGUUGCCCAGCUGCUGAUCCUGCCCAGCUGGCCAUGACCCAGAGUCCCCAUGGCACCUCUGCUUAUAGAAUGUCUCCCUGUUGAGAAAGCACCAGACCGUGGCCCUCUCCCUUCCCCUGCCCAGGUCCCAGAGCCCGUGUCUGGCACCCCUGAGACCACCUUGACGUUCCAUAAUGUUAGCCAACCGCAAGACUCCAAGGUGCCCAGGCCAGCUGUCUGGGCAGGACUGAUCACCCAACGAUACCAGGUACUGGUCCUCAAGAUUGUUAAACAAGGCCAAACACUCCUGCCCCCAAGAGGAUGGUAUGGUGAAAGAGAAAGGUAUGGGCUGUGCUCCAGCAUGAACUCAUCUCUUCUAGAGUUCUUUGUUUCGUUUGCUCCUGAAUCACAACAGAAGCUUCCUUUCUCUGGACGUUGGUUUUCAUAACUGUGAAAUGGGGAUGGAAGUGACUUUGGUGGCUUUUCCAAGUGAGGUUCCUAGACCCCCUCGAACACGCGGGAUCCGAAACAAGUCACGGCGCAUAGUGACUGACAGAGGAGCUCGACCUUUACUGUGCUCACUGGCAAGCCCACGCCCUUCACUGUGUCACUUAGCAAAGGCAUACAGGUCACUGAGGGCCCAGAAGACCCCAUGAAUACCUCCCAGAAGGUGGACUCUGUCAUCAGCCACCUGGCUCCCCCUCAUAGGGAGGCCAUAGCAGUCACUCUCCAUGGGGCCACCAACCUUCCCGCCUGCAAGGAUGGCUCUGCACCAUGGCCCUACGUGGUAGUAUAAAUAGCUAGCUGGUUGAGAGCAGGGUCAGGGAUGGUGUGCAAGCUGGAGCAGAAACCAGCGUGUGGAUAUUUGGGAUAUGAGUACCCAAAGGUUCAGGGCAGGGACUGUGACACCCAGAGAGGAAAGAAGGCCGAGUGUGAACCACCCAGGGACUGUGGGCUCUGCAGAGGUCUCAUAUCUUCCCUGCUGUGUGGGAAGCUGCUCACCAUGGCUGGGGAGGAGGGAAGAGCCACUCCUUGAUCUCACAACCACCAGGGUUUGGCCACAAAUCGACCUCAGCAAGGCAGGGCCCCCAGAUGCAGAGACCUGGGCUGGACUCAGUGGGAGGUGAUGG
ensembl:lncRNA